rnacentral:misc_RNA from 1 species
GAUGAAGAACGUAGCGAAAUGCGAUAAGUAAUGUGAAUUGCAGAAUUAAGUGAAUCAUCGAAUCUUUGAACGCACAUUGCGCCCGCCAGCACUCUGGCGGGCAUGCCUGUCCGAGCGUCAUUUACCACCCUCGGGCCCCCUGGGGGGCCCGGUGCUGGGGGCACGGCCCAGGCCGCCCCCGAAAUGCAGUGGCGACCCCGCCGCGUCCUCCCCUGCGCAGUAGCACAAUCUCGCACCGGAAGCGCGGAGGCGGUCACGCCUGGAAACGCCCCAACUCAACGCAGUUGACCUCGGAUCAGGUAGGAGUACCCGCUGAACUUAAGCAUAUCAAUAAGCGGAGGA